ACAGCUCCAAAGCCGCGAGGCUCACCACACACAGGAUCGCUCUCCGCGUCCUUUCUCGUGAGCGGGCUAAGGUCUGAGCAUUCUAGUCCCCCUCGAUCGACUCUCGCAGGGUCCAGCGUCAAGCACGCUGAGCAGCACACCAGAGAAACAGCGGGCAGUUUGUCGAUCCCAAGAUCAUCCGUUAACUUUAUCGGAUGGGAGGAUAAAAUUGCUUUGCUUUGGAAUAUGCUGCGGGGACCGGGCUUUUGCUUAUAUUGGAUUGCAUAACGUGCCUAUCGCUGGUUCCUGUGCCGCGGGGCGCACUUUGGUUGUAUCGGCGCGGCUAGCGGCUGCACUUAGCAAAUGAUAUCCGAGCGGUUUGUGCUUGCCAAUUUCUUCUGAGAUACCAACGUGCAUGCCUUGGGCGUCGGAUUUUGUUGCAUGUUCAAAAAUGCCGCUCGGAUUGCUACUUGUAUGCCGCGAUGCCGGCAGUCGAUUCCUUUGUCCGGGACCAGCACGAGGGCAAAGUCAUGCAUCCUAGAGCAUUUAUGUCCUUCAGUUCACUUCGUGGCUCGCUAUAUCUUCGGAUUAGCGCAACUCGAUUCAGACUACUCUGGAGCUGU
rnacentral:RNase_P_RNA from 2 species